UGUGGUGUGGCUCAUUGGUAGAGAGUUUGUCUACCAUACAUAAGGCCAUGGGUUCCAUUCCCAGCACCACAA
rnacentral:tRNA from 1 species